rnacentral:lncRNA from 1 species
CCUCGGCCCCGCCCCCUCGCCCCACUGGCUCCGCCCCUUCAGCCCACUGGCUCCUCUCCGGUGACUGACGGCUGCAGGAAGCGCUUGGCUCCGGUCCAGGAGCCGGGGGGCAGGUAUGGCGAGGUCUGAAGGCGAACCAAUGGCAGCCAGGCGGGGCUGCGGUGGAAUAAAACUCAUGAGUGGGGUGUGUCUCCCACAGCUUCGUCAGCAGGCAGACGGUGAAGGGCUCCUGUGCAGACUGGUUGGAGCCCAAGCGGCCGCUCUGAGGGAGACAGACGCGCGUCCUCCUCCGUGGGCUCGUCUUCUCACGGCCUUUCACACUUGGAGGGAAACUUGACUGAGGACCGUUACACUGCUGCAGAAUGAAGCUGGUCUGUGGUCGCUCACAUCUCCUUAUCACUUUUCCAGCCCAGCUAUAGAUUGUGCAUCCGUUGGACGGAGAACUGAUAAGGGCAUGUGCAUGACAUUACCUGCAGACGACCGGCUCCGACAGCGUUUGGGGCGAUUUACUCACUGAAUUCCUGUUUGUUCAUGUUCCAGGCAGUUUUCAGUCUUCUUCUUGAGGUUGUUUGCUGUAACUUUGGUCUGAGAUGUGUAAAUAAAUGGUGUUCAGCAGGUUCUGAAUGCUUUUGUGCUGAAUACUUUUACUAAUCCUUAUAAGAAACGAUGGUUUGUCUUUGAACUGGCUAGUGAUUAACGGCCGUGCAGAAUCAGACCGGACCUCCUUGCAGGCGCCGCAGAGCACAGCUGCUUUGAACACGUUUCCUUGAGGAGCAGCUGCAGGUCCGAUGUCGUUCUGCUUUUGAAAAUAUACGAUUCCAAAACAAUAUGGUCCAGAAAUGUAACGGCAGCGGGACUGUGAUGAACUUGUUCACUCUGACAAGCUACAGCAUGACUGAUCAAAUCUGUUAUGUCAGUGACUGAGGAUGAUGCAGCCGAGGAACUGGAAUAGAGAAAUUAGGACGCCAGCAUCCUGUCGCUGUGGAGGAGCGACGUCUUCCCAGCCUCCAUUACUUCAGCUACACUGGAGACUGAGGCCACAGAACAUGGGGAGGACAUUGUUAAUGUACGGAAGGUCUCAACCAGAUAAUAGGUCAGUCAAGCAGAGGACGCUGGUCCCACUGCUGCCACAGGAGGCACGUGUAGCAACAUACAUAGAACUCGUUCAACUGUCAGUGACCUGCGUAGCCUCAACACAUGGCCAGUGUUCACGUGGACCGGCUUCAGGUCACAGCAGCAAAUGUCUGAGGAAGCAGAAAUAACUAAGCACCAGAUGAACAUCAGGGGCCGAGGCUGCUGCGUGGUCAGUUGCUGUGUCGGUAACCUGCUCAGAUGAGGAGGCAGCUCAGUUCACAU